AUUGAACGCUGGCGGCAGGCCUAACACAUGCAAGUCGAGCGGAUGAAAGGAGCUUGCUCCUGGAUUCAGCGGCGGACGGGUGAGUAAUGCCUAGGAAUCUGCCUGGUAGUGGGGGACAACGUUUCGAAAGGAACGCUAAUACCGCAUACGUCCUACGGGAGAAAGCAGGGGACCUUCGGGCCUUGCGCUAUCAGAUGAGCCUAGGUCGGAUUAGCUAGUUGGUGAGGUAAUGGCUCACCAAGGCGACGAUCCGUAACUGGUCUGAGAGGAUGAUCAGUCACACUGGAACUGAGACACGGUCCAGACUCCUACGGGAGGCAGCAGUGGGGAAUAUUGGACAAUGGGCGAAAGCCUGAUCCAGCCAUGCCGCGUGUGUGAAGAAGGUCUUCGGAUUGUAAAGCACUUUAAGUUGGGAGGAAGGGUUGUAGAUUAAUACUCUGCAAUUUUGACGUUACCGACAGAAUAAGCACCGGCUAACUCUGUGCCAGCAGCCGCGGUAAUACAGAGGGUGCAAGCGUUAAUCGGAAUUACUGGGCGUAAAGCGCGCGUAGGUGGUUUGUUAAGUUGGAUGUGAAAUCCCCGGGCUCAACCUGGGAACUGCAUCCAAAACUGGCAAGCUAGAGUAUGGUAGAGGGUGGUGGAAUUUCCUGUGUAGCGGUGAAAUGCGUAGAUAUAGGAAGGAACACCAGUGGCGAAGGCGACCACCUGGACUGAUACUGACACUGAGGUGCGAAAGCGUGGGGAGCAAACAGGAUUAAAUACCCUGGUANUCCACGCCGUAAACGAUGUCNACUAGCCGUUGGGAGCCUUGAGCUCUUAGUGGCGCAGCUAACGCAUUAANUUGACCGCCUGGGGAGUACNGCCGCAAGGUUAAAACUCAAAUGAAUUGACGGGGGCCCGCACAAGCGGUGGAGCAUGUGGUUUAAUUCUAAGCAACGCCAAGAACCUUACCAGGCCUUGACAUCCAAUGAACUUUCCAGAGAUGGAUUGGUGCCUUCGGGAGCAUUGAGACAGGUGCUGCUUGGCUGUCGUCAGCUCGUGUCGUGAGAUGUUGGGUUAA
rnacentral:rRNA from 1 species